rnacentral:miRNA from 1 species
GAUAAUUUAGUGGCCUUCCUACUU